rnacentral:rRNA from 1 species
AUUGAACGCUGGCGGCAUGCUUUACACAUGCAAGUCGAACGGUAACAGGCCUUCGGGCGCUGACGAGUGGCGAACGGGUGAGUAAUGCAUCGGAACGUGCCCAGCCGUGGGGGAUAACGCAGCGAAAGCUGUGCUACUACCGCAUACGAUCUGUGGAUGAAAGAGGGGGACUUUCGGGCCUCGCGCGAUUGGGGCGGCCGAUGUCAGAUUAGGUAGUUGGUGGGGUAAAGGCCCACCAAGCCGACGAUCUGUAGCUGGUCUGAGAGGACGACCAGCCACACUGGGACUGAGACACGGCCCAGACUCCUACGGGAGGCAGCAGUGGGGAAUUUUGGACAAUGGGCGCAAGCCUGAUCCAGCAAUGCCGCGUGCAGGAAGAAGGCCUUCGGGUUGUAAACUGCUUUUGUACGGAGCGAAAAGGCUCCCUCUAAUACAGGGGGCUCAUGACGGUACCGUAAGAAUGAGCACCGGCUAACUACGUGCCAGCCGCCGCGGUAA